rnacentral:rRNA from 1 species
UACGUAGGGGGCUAGCGUUGUCCGGAAUCACUGGGCGUAAAGGGCGCGUAGGUGGCGCUCCAAGUCCGUGGUGAAAGCUCGAUGCUCAACAUCGAGUCGGCCACGGAGACUGGAGGGCUCGAGCACUGUAGGGGCAGAUGGAAUUCCGGGUGUAGCGGUGGAAUGCGUAGAGAUCCGGAAGAACACCGGUGGCGAAGGCGGUCUGCUGGGCAGUUGCUGACACUGAGGCGCGACAGCGUGGGGAGCAAACAGG